rnacentral:rRNA from 1 species
GAUGAACGCUGGCGGCGUGCCUAAUACAUGCAAGUCGAGCGAACGGACGAGAAGCUUGCUUCUCUGAUGUUAGCGGCGGACGGGUGAGUAACACGUGGAUAACCUACCUAUAAGACUGGGAUAACUUCGGGAAACCGGAGCUAAUACCGGAUAAUAUUUUGAACCGCAUGGUUCAAAAGUGAAAGACGGUCUUGCUGUCACUUAUAGAUGGAUCCGCGCUGCAUUAGCUAGUUGGUAAGGUAACGGCUUACCAAGGCAACGAUGCAUAGCCGACCUGAGAGGGUGAUCGGCCACACUGGAACUGAGACACGGUCCAGACUCCUACGGGAGGCAGCAGUAGGGAAUCUUCCGCAAUGGGCGAAAGCCUGACGAAGCAACGCCGCGUGAGUGAUGAAGGUCUUCGGAUCGUAAAACUCUGCUAUUAGGGAAGAACAUAUGUGUAAGUAACUGUGCACAUCUUGACGGUACCUAAUCAGAAAGCCACGGCUAACUACGUG